CAUUGAGAAGCUAAGCAGCGUUAACCUUUUAAGUUAAAGACUGAGGGCCCACCCCCUCCUUAAUGA
rnacentral:tRNA from 1 species